UGGCGGACGGGUGAGUAACGCGUGGAAAACCUGCCGUAUACUGGGGGAUAACACUUAGAAAUAGGUGCCAAUACCGCAUAAGCGCACAGCUUCGCAUGAAGCGGUGUGAAAAACUCUGGUGGUAUACGAUGGUUCCGCGUCUGAUUAGCUAGUUGGUGGGGUAAUGGCCUACCAAGGCAACGAUCAGUAGCCGGCCUGAGAGGGUGAACGGCCACAUUGGGACUGAGACACGGCCCAAACUCCUACGGGAGGCAGCAG
rnacentral:rRNA from 1 species